rnacentral:misc_RNA from 1 species
GCAGCCUCCAGAGAGCUGUGUAUAGAGUGGUAAGGUGCUACAAGCUCGCGGUGCGUGUGGCGGCCAUACUCAGCCUUCCCGUCUCCUCGCCUGGAGAGCUCCACGACCGUUACGGUAGCAGACGGCAGACUCCACAGGCUGUGCGGGGCGGCUUCAGGCCAGGUCGCUGCUGGGUCAACAACAACAACGUGUGUCGUUGUUUAUUGAUUCCUUUCGAGUUCAUUAACAAGUGCCGUGGAAGAUGUGAGCGACCAUGGUGGAGAAAUGUAGCAAAUUCUCGCCCAUCGUCAAAGCCAGAUCGGAAAUAUGGCGGGAGGACGAGCUGGCCAGGGACUCCAUGCAGUCGUCGCUCGAUGUAUCUCCUCACGCUCAGCAUCCCAGCCACCGGUCGCACUCGGAGGGCGAGCUUGGGGAUACUGCAGGGCGAGUAGUUGUAGGCAACGAACGUGGCCCGCCCGUCACCAUCAACGAACUCGUUCAGCUUUCUCAUAUUGGUAUUCCACGAGAUCAGGUAACAUGGGCACGUGUUACGCUCACUUCUGAUAAGUGGAUUUCAGUGCGUCAUGACAACCAUGAUGACCUCAGCAGUCGAAGGGCAACGGUAACAGUACUGAGCCCUAAGGAAGGGACAAUAUCAUAUGCAGGACAAACUAGUGCUGACUCAGUCUACAUGAACCCUACACAGCCAAUCAUUGCGCUGAAAGCUGGUUUUCGCUUUGAGGCUUUCAAUCUGGACACAAAACUGCUGAUAGGGCGGACACACUUACACGAGCCUGUCUCCUAUUGGACUUGGUUAAACUCAGACAUUAUUGCCAUUGUCACUGACACAGCAGUCUUCCACUGGGAUUUAUGGCAAGGGGAUAGUCCUCCAGAGCGAGUCUUCUUGCGACAUCACCGGCUGGCCUUCAGUGAGAUUGUCAGUUAUAAGGCUGACCCCAGUCUUAAGUGGCUCGCAAUAACAGGUCUGAUCCCCGAGGAUGACCGCAUCUCAGGUGUGACUCAGCUGUACAGUGUUGAAGAGGACAUCACUCAGUGCAUCAGCUCCCAUGCUGUUUGCUUUUCCACAUACAACUUUGCUGACAACCCCCAGCCCUCCACAGUCUUAUGUGUAGCCUCUCGCGAGUCCCAGGACCAUGGCAAGGUGCAUGUCAUAGAGCUGGGCCCAUACAGAGCUGGAAAUUAUGCUCCCCGUAACUGCUAUGACCACAUUCAGUUCCUGGAUGACACUGAGAGAUAUGAUUUUCCUAUCUCUGUUCAGGUGUCAACAGAGUAUGGACUGCUAUUUGUUGUAACCAAGUAUGGGUACUUGUACCUUUGUGACAUGGAGACGGGUAUGUGUCUGUGCUGUACUAGAAUCUCUGCUGACGUCAUUUUCACUUCUACCCUCAACACUGACACACAGGGCAUUCUUGGGGUGACUAGAGCGGGACAGGUAAUCACAGUAGAUCUGAAGAAGGAUGGCUUCAUCUCUUAUCUAAGAGAGACGACAAGAAAAUCCUGUUCUGCCAACCGCCUAGAGAAGGCCAUUUGCCAGUGAUCACUUACAUUUCACACUGUUUUGGCUACAGAGUGUUAUGUUUUGGCCUUCACUAUAACAAUCAGACCUAUACAAUACUGCCUUUAAAUUCUUUCCUACCUGUUAUGAUUUACUAGGGCUACAAACAAAUUUCAGUGUGAUAUCAAAGAAGUGGUAUUGGUGGAAACAGAAGGAAGAAUAUGAUAAGAUGCUCAAGAAAUGAUAAUCUUGUCUGUACGAAAUGUUUCCAAAGUGGAGGCAAGUCUUGGUGAUUUUAGAACACUAUACAAACAAUAUAAACAUUAUGUUUACAUGCUGUUUGAGAGAAGGAAAGCUAUUUGUGCUUGCUUAAAACGGUUGUACCCAGUACAAAGUUAGUCUUUCUGCUUAAAUACGUCCUGUGUACGCAGUGUUAUGCACUGUUACUAUUGUGAACUCGCUGCUGGGUCUAGGCAUUGCCUCCCUUAUUGUGUCGUAUUUGGCCCAUGCUUGCAUCGUCCUUGUAUUUAUAUACAGGAGUGGAUCUUGGAGAUUUGGAAGUCUUUUAUGAUUUGAUUAUUAUGACUUCUGACAAGUAUUUUAUUGUCCUUGAAUGCUUGGACAGUAGUUGCUGCCAGGCCUUUACAUCUGCCGGACCUGGGCACUAAUGCAUGUGUUUAACCCUGAGCAGGGUGCAGUUUUACCCGCUGCUGAGACUCACAAAUCUGAUAUGUCAAGUACCUACUGAAGCAAGCUGUCUCCUGUUGCAGGCACAAUACUCCGAGAUGAUAUUUGAUUCCUGAACUUGAAGUCUGCAGGGCUUUCUAGAGCCUCACCAAGUGCAAUUUUUAUGUUAUGUACCAGAAUGUAUUUUACUGUUGUAUUCAGUCUUGUGUAGUCGUGUCGUUGGUCACAAUAACCUGUACAAGAAAACGAUAUUCAGUACCUUUUAGGUGUAGCUGAACCAUUAUGUCUGGUGUUUAUGAAUAUAUUUAUAGAAAGGUGCAUCUUGCUCAGUAUUUAAUGUUUACAUGUAUGCAUUCACUUACAAAGCCUACUAAAACAGUUUUUAUUUCAA